rnacentral:rRNA from 1 species
CCUACGUGGUGCAGCAGUGAGGAAUAUUGGUCAAUGGGCGCGAGCCUGAACCAGCCAAGUAGUGUGAAGGAUGACUGCCCUACGGGUUGUAAACUUCUUUUAUAAAGGAAUAAAGUGAGGCACGUGUGCCUUUUUGUAUGUACUUUAUGAAUAAGGAUCGGCUAACUCCGUGCCAGCAGCCGCGGUAAUACGGAGGAUCCGAGCGUUAUCCGGAUUUAUUGGGUUUAAAGGGAGCGUAGAUGGGUUGUUAAGUCAGUUGUGAAAGUUUGCGGCUCAACCGUAAAAUUGCAAUUGAUACUGGCAGUCUUGAGUACAGUUGAGGUAGGCGGAAUUCGUGGUGUAGCGGUGAAAUGCUUAGAUAUCACGAAGAACUCCGAUUGCGAAGGCAGCUUACUAAACUGCCACUGACAUUGAUGCUCGAAAGUGUGGGUAUCAAACAGGAUUAGAUACCCGUGUAGUC